GAUGAAGAACGCAGCGAAAUGCGAUAAGUAGUGUGAAUUGCAGAAUUCAGUGAAUCAUCGAAUCUUUGAACGCACACUGCGCCCUUUGGUAUUCCAAAGGGCAUGCCUGUUCGAGCGUCAUUUGUACCCUCAAGCUUUGCUUGGUGUUGGGCGUCUUGUCUCUAGCUUUGCUGGAGACUCGCCUUAAAGUAAUUGGCAGCCGGCCUACUGGUUUCGGAGCGCAGCACAAGUCGCACUCUCUAUCAGCAAAGGUCUAGCAUCCAUUAAGCCUUUUUUUCAACUUUUGACCUCGGAUCAGGUAGGGAUACCCGCUGAACUUAAGCAUAUCAAUAAGCGGAGGA
rnacentral:misc_RNA from 1 species